GAGUNAACUAGCUACCUGAAAUCAUAGAAUUUUUUCAAAUUCGUGAUGUCGUAAGGGAAAAUAAUGAUAAUACCUUACUAUGAGUGUCGCCCAAAUCUGGUGCCAGAAGACUCGGUAAGACCAGAGACGCAAACGUUAAUCAUCAUAAACAGGCGUAAAGGGUUUGUAGGCAGCUUUUAUAAGAUAGUCAAAAAUCUAAAUUGAAAGCUAGAAUCAAAAAGAGGUUAUAGUGUAUAACGCCUAGAGGAGGGCUGAUAUCCAUAGAUCCUAGGCAGAAUACUCAGGGCGAAGGCCACUCUCCACUAAUGAUUGACGCUGAGAAACGAAGGUUAGGGUAGGAAAUAGGAUUAGAUACCCCGGUACUCCUUUCUGUAAACGAUGAAUGGUAGUCAUUAGUUUUAAUAAAUAACUAGAGGCGAAGUUAACACAAUAACCAUUCCGCCUUGUGAGUACUACUGCAAAGUAGAAAACCAAAAAAUUAGUCGGUGCUCGAAGCANNNCGGANNNAAGCAU
rnacentral:rRNA from 1 species